rnacentral:lncRNA from 1 species
UUUUUAUAUGUAAUUUUCAGUUUUACAUAUAUAUCAGGCCCAAGUUGGCCUAACAACCCCCCUAACCGCAUGCCCCAAUACACACAUUUUUUAGGUAAAUAUUUUAAGUAGAUAGGUUUUAACCCUUCCUCGACACAAUACAAGAUUAAUCGCCGGAAUCUCCAUGGUUUGGUUGGAAACUGGCCGGAAUCGCCGAUUUUUGGCCGGCCGACUAGGGCUGAUUAGGUCCGACUAGGGCCGACUACCGAUUAAAGGACCAAUUAACGAAAAAUUACUCAGUGACCGGCCGACUAGCGAUUAAUCGCCAACUAGUCCUGAUUUUAAACAUAGUAUUUAUCGUUUCAUGGUGUAUAGUAAAUAUUUGUCAUGCCCAUAAUCCUUCAUUUAGGUUCCGAAUUCAACAGUUUCAAAAUUUUCUAUGAGUUUCAGAUUUUUAGUGCAUAUCACAUGAGCUCGAGGAUAUACUUAAGUUAUGUCUUAAGAAAUAACUAUUAGUUAUUUUGAUUUGCAUUUUAAUUUUAAUUUUCAUUUUUCUAAAUCGUGUGAGUGAAACAUGUAAUAGUUCUUAACUGAAAAUGCAAUUUAAAAUUUUUAAAAUUCUAGGGUAAAGCUACAAGCCUACAACUACAUUUAGAAAUCUUUAUCCCCAUAAGAUGCUCUUUACAUGAUCCCACUUGUUAGAAGAGUAUUGAUGGGGCCGUGAGUUUUCCCUAAUGUGUUAUAACGAUCACCAAUAUGUGUGUGUAUAAUAAGUGAGAAAUAUAGAGCGUACCAGUCUAAUCCCUCAAAUAGACCUUCUCCUUUAAUUGCAGAAGUUUUAAAUAUUGACCAUUGACGGUUUUUGAUUUUAUGCAAUUCCAAGGAUUCAGUCACAGCAGCAUCAUCAAGCGCUCCAGGAAGAUCCUAUUAAUAAAACGGGAUGUGGUUUGA